rnacentral:rRNA from 1 species
AGAACGAACGCUGGCGGCAUGCCUAACACAUGCAAGUCGAACGAGACCUUCGGGUCUAGCGGCGCACGGGUGCGUAACGCGUGGGAAUCUGCCCUUGGGUUCGGAAUAACAGUUGGAAACGACUGCUAAUACCGGAUGAUGACGUAAGUCCAAAGAUUUAUCGCCCAGGGAUGAGCCCGCGUAGGAUUAGCUAGUUGGUGAGGUAAAGGCUCACCAAGGCGACGAUCCUUAGCUGGUCUGAGAGGAUGAUCAGCCACACUGGGACUGAGACACGGCCCAGACUCCUACGGGAGGCAGCAGUGGGGAAUAUUGGACAAUGGGCGAAAGGCCUGAUCCAGCAAUGCCGCGUGAGUGAUGAAGGCCUUAGGUUGUAAAGCUCUUUUACCCGGGAAGAUAAUGACUGUACCGGAGAAUAAGCUCCGGCUAACUCCGCGCUAGCAGCCGAC